CUUGGCCUCACUGGGCAAGCUGCUUCCUGAAAGUGCUGACCUCAUUUCUUAAGGGGAUAGAUAAGCAUUUAUUCAUAUGAUGGGAUUUCAAGAGGGUGAGAGCAGAGCCCUCGAAGGUGAUUGCAGGGCGCAGAAGAGGUGUCCAAGGGCUUCAAAGACUUCCCUUAAGGCCUGUCCUGCUUACAAGAAAUGCAAUCAGGGGGAGCAGAAUGACGCAGAGGAGUCUGGAAGCUCAGGAUUGCAUUAAGCGACUUUCCCAUACUGUGAGGAGAUGUGGUGGGGACCAUUAACUGUUGGAAGGAUUCCUUUUAAGGAUGCAUUAUAUCAAGAGCUAGAUAUCAGAGCCACUUGGGAGAAAUAAGAAACAGGUGUAGAAACAGUCUUCUGGGACAUCUGGUCAUGAAGAAGUUAUGAAAAAGAAAGAAAGAGAAAACGU
rnacentral:lncRNA from 10 species